CCAGACUCCUACGGGAGGCAGCAGUGAGGAAUAUUGGUCAAUGGUCGGGAGACUGAACCAGCCAAGCCGCGUGAGGGAUGAAGGUACAGAGUAUCGUAAACCUCUUUUGCCGGGGAGCAACGGGGUCCUUGCGAGGGUCCGAUGAGAGUACCCGGAGAAAAAGCAUCGGCUAACUCCGUGCCAGCAGCCGCGGUAAUACGGAGGAUGCGAGCGCUAUCCGGAUUUAUUGGGUUUAAAGGGUGCGUAGGCGGAGUGUCAAGUCAGCGGUAAAAUUUCGGGGCUCAACCCCGUCGUGCCGUUGAAACUGACACCCUUGAGUGAGUGAGAAGUAAGCGGAAUGCGUGGUGUAGCGGUGAAAUGCAUAGAUAUCACGCAGAACGCCGAUUGCGAAGGCAGCUUACCGGCGCUCAACUGACGCUGAGGCACGAAAGUGCGGGUAUCGAACAGGAUUAGAUACCCUUGUA
rnacentral:rRNA from 1 species